rnacentral:rRNA from 1 species
UGAGUAACCUGCCCUUAACUCUGGGAUAAGCCCGGGAAACUGGGUCUAAUACCGGAUAUGACUCCUCAUCGCAUGGUGGGGGGUGGAAAGCUUUGUGGUUUUGGAUGGACUCGCGGCCUAUCAGCUUGUUGGUGAGGUAAUGGCUCACCAAGGCGACGACGGGUAGCCGGCCUGAGAGGGUGACCGGCCACACUGGGACUGAGACACCGGCCCAGACCUCCGUACGGGAGCAG